rnacentral:rRNA from 1 species
CAGCCGCCGCGGUAAUACGGAGGGUGCAAGCGUUAAUCGGAAUUACUGGGCGUAAAGCGCACGCAGGCGGUCUGACAAGUCAGAUGUGAAAUCCCCGGGCUUAACCUGGGAACUGCAUUUGAAACUGUCAGGCUGGAGUCUUGUAGAGGGGGGUGGAAUUCAGGUGUAGCGGUGAAAUGCGUAGAGAUCUGGAGGAAUACCGGUGGCGAAGGCGGCCCCCUGGACAAAGACUGACGCUCAGGUGCGAAAGCGUGGGGAGCAAACAGGAUUAGAUACCCCUGUAGUCCCUGUCUCUUAUACA